rnacentral:lncRNA from 1 species
GAUGAAAUGCCAUGCUGAAACUCAACUUGGUUCCCAAAGCCUCUUGUAACUUUUUCCAAAACCUUGAGGUAAACCUCGAAUCUCUUUCUGGCACAAUCGACUAUGGCACUCCAUGAAGCCUCACAAUCUCGAAAAUAUAUAAUUCGGCUAAUUUCUUGAGGGAGUAGUGGUACGCACGGGUACGAAAUGUGCCGACGUAGUUAGUCUAUCGACAAUAACGCAUAUUGCAUCUUUCUUUU